rnacentral:rRNA from 1 species
UACGGAGGAUGCGAGCGUUAUCCGGAUUUAUUGGGUUUAAAGGGUGCGUAGGCGGUAUUUUAAGUUAGUGGUAAAACGUCGGGGCUUCACCUUGAUUUGCCAUUAAUACUGUAAGACUCGAGUUCAGACGAGGUAGGCGGAAUAAGUUAAGUAGCGGUGAAAUGCUUAGAGAUCAUACAGAACACCGAUUGCGCAGGCAGCUUGCUAAUCCGCAUCUGACGCUGAUGCACGAAAGCGUGGGUAGCGAACAGG